UACGGGGGGAGCAAGCGUUGUUCGGAUUUACUGGGCGUAAAGGGCGGCGUAGGCGGCCAGCGCAAGUCAGUUGUGAAAUCUCCGGGCUUAACUCGGAACGGUCAACUGAUACUGCGCGGCUAGAGUGCAGAAGGGGCAACUGGAAUUCUCGGUGUAGCGGUGAAAUGCGUAGAUAUCGAGAGGAACACCUGCGGCGAAGGCGGGUUGCUGGGCUGACACUGACGCUGAUGCGCGAAAGCCAGGGGAGCGAACGGG
rnacentral:rRNA from 1 species